GGAUAUUCGCAGGUAUCCACUAGUAUCUACGGGUUUUAAAAUACCCGCAGGUAUUUUUUAAGCGGGUAUCCGUGCGGGUAACGGGUCGGGUAGCAGGUGGAUUUUUUUUUUUCGGGUCGAGUAGCAGGUGGAUUUUUUGUCGGGUCGGGUUGCGGGUAGUCACUAUCCGUGCCUGACCCGACCCGUUGUCAUCCCUAGUUUUAAUAUAAAUAAUUUUGUGAGGAACGAGUUUCAUUAUUUUAAAAACACGUAGUCUCUCUAGAAACCACUUUUCUAGAGUUCUCUAACUUCUCUCUAAGGAUUUUCAUCCCUUAUUCAUCUGUUUGAAGAUUGGAGACCGCCUGAGUGAUUCUCGUGGUGAGAUCUUCAAGUCUAACCGAUAAGUUUCUACAAAAGAGUGAAUUUCUAGAGAAGGGGCUUUGGAGAGAUAAUUAAUAUUUGA
rnacentral:sRNA from 1 species